CAAUCUUCCUACUACAUCAGAAGUUGCAGGGAUAUGGGUUGAAAAAGAAAUCACCGAAGUUAGUUCUGCACCUCAUAUUCGAAUCUACACUCAUAGUAACAGAUCUCAAAUAGUGAACUACUAUUGCGGAUGUUAUGAUCCGCUACAAUAUCCACUAUUAUUUCCAUAUGGUCAAAGUGGAUGGCACUGUGGCAUUAAAAAAAUUAUACAACCAAAAGAUACUUCUAAACGUCGAGCCUUUUGUGAACACGAAGAAUUACCAAGUAUUAGAAAUAUGUGUUCUGUUGAUGGAUAUCUUGACAUGGAAGCUCAAAAUCUUGAAAAAGGAAAACGGAAAAGAGAUAAUAUCUCUGUUCGUGAAUAUUACUAAUAUAAAUUCCAAAUGAGAGAAGAUGAAACAAAUGAAACUUUGCAUUCUGGAAAAUUAUUUCAACAAUAUUCAGUAGAUGAACACAUAAAACUUGAAACAUAGAGAUUAGAUUUUUUUCAUUCAACCCAGAUCUCUUUAGGAUAGAAAUGCUACAAGGACUCAUUGAUAUUUUAAGACUUGGAGAAAGAGACUCUUCAAAUAUAGGAAAACAAACAUUCCUUCCCGUUACUUUUAUAGGCGGACCAAGAGACAUGCGUCGACGCUACAUGGAUGCUAUUUCUUUGGUACAACAAUUUGGAAAACCUGAUCUAUUCAUAAUGAUAACUUGUAACCCAUCUUGGCCCGAGAUAAAAGAGCACUUGCUACCAACUGACGAAGCACAGAACAGACCUGAUUUAAUUAGUCGAGUUUUUAAGGUAAAGAUAGAAGAACUAAAAACCGAUAUAUUAAAAAGAAAUAUCUUUGGAAAAGUUGCAGCUUUUAUGUAUACUAUAGAAUUUCAAAAACGUGGUUUACCACAUGCUCAUUUCCUUAUUAUACUUACUAAUGAAUACAAACUACUCACUCCAGAAUCUUAAAUCUUAUGAUAAUAUUGUUCGUGCUGAAUUGCCUGAUUGUAAAGCUGAAGAAACCUUAUAUAAACUUGUUCUUCAACAUAUGAUGCAUGGACCUUGUGGUAAAUUAAAUCCUACAAAUUCAUGUAUGCAAAAGAAAAAAGGUGGUUGCAAAUUCAAAUAUCCAAGAAGCUUUGCUGAUCAAACAUCAAAAGGGAAAAAUUCUUACCCAAUUUAUAGAAGACGGAAUACAGGACUUGUGAAAGUCAAAGAUCACUAUUUCGAUAACUCAUGGGUUGUCCCUUAUAAUCCAUUCUUACUUGGAAAAUUCAAUUGCCACAUAAAUGUUGAAAUUUGUUCAGAUAUUAAAGCUGUUAAAUAUAUUUAUAAAUACAUCUGUAAAGGACAUGAUAAAAUCGCAUUUCACAUACAUGACAAUGACGCAAAUGUUGAAGUAGAUGAAAUAAAAGAAUAUCAGUCUGCUCGAUGGGUAUCACCAUUUAUUUGGUUUUCCUAUUAAUGAAAUGACACCAUCUGUUUAUCAUCUUCAGUUACAUCUUGAAGGACAACAAUUUGUUUCUUUUAAGAGUGCAUCGAGUAUAAACUCAAUUAUGAAUAAUCCUAUGAUUAGAAAAACAAUGUUAACAGAAUUUUUCGCUAUGAACAAAACAAAUAAAGAUGCAAUAAAGCUCAAUCUACUGUAUAAAGAAUUUCCACAAUAUUUUGUAUGGUCAGUACAAUAUAAAAUGUGGACCCGUCGAACAAAGGGUAAUGUCAUUGGACGUGUUGUAACAUGUCAUCCAACAGAAGGUGAAAGAUAUUAUCUGAGAUUAUUAUUAAUGAAUAUAAGAGGACAAAAAUCAUAUGAAGACCUACUAACUGUAAAUGAAGUACGUUGCGAUACAUUCAGAGAAUCAGCUCAAAAAAGAGGACUACUUCAUUGUGACAAUAACUUAGCUGAAUGUAUGCUAGAAGCUGAGAGUUAUCAAAUGCCAUGUAGCUUGAGACGUUUGUUUGCUACAUUGUUGGUAUAUUGUGAUCCUGCUAAUCCAAGAGAAUUAUGGGAGAAAUUCGAGAACUCUAUGUCGGAAGACUUCAAAGUUUUACCAGAUAUCGGAACAAAAAGUGUUCGAUAUAAAGUUUUAGAUUGUCUCAAUGACAUCUUACAUUCGAUGGGACAUAACAUUAAUGAGUAUAAACUUAUCGCUGAAAAUUUCAAGGCUUCAAAGGCUGCCAAAGAAGGAAGAGAAAUAUUUUUCGAAAGAAACAUAAUCGUUACUGAAGAAGAGCUAUUACUGCGACAAAAGUUGAACCGUGAACAACAGGUGGCGUACAAUGUGAUUAUAGACAGAAUAUCUUCGAACAGACCGGGAGCUUUUUUUGUUGACGGUCCUGGAGGAACAGGUAAAACUUUUUUAUAGCGUGCCUUAUUAGCUACUGUGCGAUCUAAAGGAUUUAUUGCUCUAGCAACAGCAACCUCUGGAGUUGCGGCUUCGAUUCUUCCAGGUGGUCGUACCGCUCAUUCCUGUUUUAAAAUUCCCAUUGACAUUGAUGAAAAUUUUAGUUGCAAUAUUAGCAAACAAAGUUCACUUUCCUGUUUGAUUCGAGAUGCAAAAUUAAUUGUAUGGGAUGAAGUAUCGAUGGCAAAAAAGAAAAUGAUUGAAACUUUUGAUCUACUUUUGAAAGAUCUCUUGAAUACUAAUGUGCUUUUUGGUGGUAAAGUUGUUGUCUUUGGUGGUGAUUUUAGACACACUUUACCAGUAGUUCGAAACGGAAAAAGAGAGGAUUUUAUUCAUGAGAGUUUAUUAUAUUCUGACAUUUGGCCCCGACUUGAAAAAUUGCAUCUGUCAGAAAACAUGCGUGCAAAAACUGAUCCGGCCUUUUGUGAAUAUUUGAUGAGAAUAGGAAAUGGAAAAGAACCUCUUACUUCUGAAAACAAAAUUGAAAUUCCAAAAUCAUUUAUUAUCCCUUAUACUACGGAACCGGAAUCUUUGAAUGCAUUAUCUGAAACAACAUUUCCUAACAUGCAUGCUUUCUUCUGUGAUGCAUCUUCUGUAACUUCCCGCGUUAUUUUGACGACGAAAAAUGAUUUUGUAAAUGAAAUAAAUGAUAUGCUUAUAGACAAAUUUCCAAAAGAAGCUAAAACAUUCGUUGCAAUUGAUGAACACAUGUGAAUCGAAUGAUCAAAGUCAAUAUGAAGAUUUUUUGCAUUCUUUAAAUCCUGCUGGUUUACCUCCUUAUAGAUUAACUUUGAAAGAAAAUUGUCCAAUUAUAUUAUUACGAAAUUUGAAUCCUUGUGAAGGUUUGUGCAAUGGCACAAGAUUGACAUGUUGUGAUUUUAAAACACAUGUUAUAAGUGCAAAAAUUGCAAGCGGUGACUUUAAAAAUACACAUGUGUUUAUUCCGAGAAUACCAUUGAUGUCAUCAGAAGAUGAAAAAUCCCCAGUGCAGUUUAAAAGAACACAAUUUCCAGUAAGACUUUAUUUUACUAUGACUAUAAAUAAAUCACAAGGUCAAACAUUAGAUUUUGUUGGUAUAUAUUUACGAGAACCAGUAUUUUCGCAUGGCCAGCUUUACGUUGCAUUGUCGAGAGCAAAAGCUUCCAAUUGUCUCAAGAUAUUAAUUCGGCCUCCAAACCCAGAUAGUGAUGACGAUCAUUCUACAUACAAUAUAGUUUAUGAUGAAAUUAUUCAAAAGGCUUUUUUGUGAAUCUUUUACAUGUUACUGUAUAACGUCUGUUGAACUAAAGAAAGUUGAACAUACAGUUUAAACACAUGAACACACGUCUUGUUUGUGGAACAUGUACUUAAAAGGUUAGGUUGUGCUUCUAUUUCUCCAUUUGGGUCUCUCAUUUAUUUUUUAUAUCAUUUAUUUUUUAUAUUUUGUUUCUUAUAUCUUAAUGCUUCAUUUUGAUCUGAUGUGCAUAUUUGUUUGUUUUAUCUAUGUAUAUUUUUUUUGGUUAUAUUCGUUUUGUUGUCUGUGAUUUUGGGUAUCCUUAUAAUCCGACAAAGCAGAGGAGGUGGUAGGGUAAUCGUUAGGUCUGUUAUUGAAGGGUUCAAUCAUAUUUCAACAACUUUAAUACUAAAAAAAAAAUGCGAACUUCAAUAUUCAAGAAAGGUUGAAAAUGAGUAUUUUACAAGCACUGGAAACUCUUUAAUAAAAAAUGUUGAAGAAGAACAUUUGAGAAGCACUAGAAGAUAUGAGGUUCUAAUGGAUUGGUUAUCAUUACAGCAUGUGCACACUAAUUUACGCAAUGUGUUUGAUAUAUGGCUGAAAAUUGAGAUAACUAAAUAAUGUUUUUUUUGUUUCUUUUGUUUUUAUUUACCAUUUUGAAGCUUACUGUUCUUCCUUCUUCGGCAUGCAUAUAUUCCUGCGCACAUGUUCUGAUGUUGCACAUUUUCAUGGAUCUUGAGUUUUUUUGUAAAGAGGUGGACUUGAAGAGACAACAAGCAAUCUAUCGCUGCUUGGCUAAAGAAAUUCAGUUAGUAUCUCAGCCUCUGGGACACAUGGUCUUCAAAGCGUAAUCAUUUAAAUACUCCAGGCAAAAUACUCAGGCUACAAAGGCUUACGACAGCAGUAAAACUGAUUGAAGUCACGUCUAAAAGCUUCUAUCUGCAGCCUGAUUUCAGACAUGACAGUAGCGUCAACUACCAAAUAAAUAUUUUAAAAAACUUGCGACGAGGCUUCCGAAAGAACAUCAAACCAAUUAGAUUUGAGAUUUAUUUCAGACUCUAUGGAAUUCAAGCAUCAACCACGUCACAUUUCAGCAGAGCGGUGGACUUGAAGAGACAACAAGCAAUCUAUCGCUGCUUAGCUAAAGAAGUUCAAUUAGUAUCUCAGCCUCUGUGACACAUGGCUACAAAAGCUUACAACAGCAGUAAAACUGGUUGAAGCCACAUCUAAAAGCUUCCGUCUGCAGCCUGAUUCCAGACAUGACGGUAGCGUCAACUACCAAAUAAACGUAUUCCUUCAAGUUACUGAAAUCCCCCUGCAAAUUUCAUCCAAGAGAAAGUGCAACAGAGAAAUUUCCUCGAGAUGAAUAUGCUGACCCAAAAAAUGAUGAGGAUGAAAGGCGUGACUAUCUGGGAGAUGAAGAUAAUGCGGAUAACUUAAAGACCAAAAUCAU